rnacentral:lncRNA from 1 species
UCUCUUAAGGAUCGACGACAUCUGAGGGAGGCUCGGAAGGACCGACAUUAGCACUAGAAGAGGAAAGGGUGACAGUAAGAACUGGCUCGACGGCAUUCUCCUUCUUGGGACAAGAGACCUCAGGGGCCGAAGUCUCUUCAUCCUCUUCCUCCUCAUAAUCCAAAAAAGCAAGAUCUAUGUUUGGAUACUCUUCCUUGAUCAGCUUCCGACAGUCAAUCCACCCCUCUUUGUGAGCCCCAUGAUAAAUUUUUCUACUGAACACCAUGUGGCUUUUAUGAUACUCUUGCAAUGCCUUGAAGGCUCCAACUGCUUGAACCUUCUCCUUGGCAAAGGCGAAUGAUGCCUUGUACUCCUCCAUAGCAUAGCGCUUGUUCUCCCGAACGCACUCUUCAACUUUUUUCAGUCUCUUUCUCUCUCUUCUGUGGAAGAGCAAGAUCGGCUUCUGCCUUCUUGAGAGCCUUCUAGAGGUGCUUGAUGUCAAUUUCUAGUUUUUUCACCUUCAUCUGAGCGGCUAGAGCAUCCUCUUUGUCCUUUGUUUCAGCCUCUCGUACCUUCUUUUCGGCCUCCCGUGCCCCUGCUUCCCUAGCUGAACGAUCUGCUAAGUUGACGAGGACAUGAAGAAGUUGCAUCCAAACAAGUUAAGUAAAAGAAAUGAGAUUUAAGAAAGAGAAGCGAAUAGUUAGAGUAAUACCUAAUGUCCAACCGUCAGAGAUAGCCUCUUAAGGCCAGAGGCACUCAUUUUUUCG